rnacentral:rRNA from 1 species
UGGGGAAUUUUGGACAAUGGGCGCAAGCCUGAUCCAGCCAUGCCGCGUGUGUGAAGAAGGCCUUUUGGUUGUAAAGCACUUUAAGCAGGGAGGAGAGGCUAAUGGUUAAUACCCAUUAGAUUAGACGUUACCUGCAGAAUAAGCACCGGCUAACUCUGUGCCAGCAGCCGCGGUAAUACAGAGGGUGCGAGCGUUAAUCGGAAUUACUGGGCGUAAAGCGAGUGUAGGUGGCUCAUUAAGUCACAUGUGAAAUCCCCGGGCUUAACCUGGGAACUGCAUGUGAUACUGGUGGUGCUAGAAUAUGUGAGAGGGAAGUAGAAUUCCAGGUGUAGCGGUGAAAUGCGUAGAGAUCUGGAGGAAUACCGAUGGCGAAGGCAGCUUCCUGGCAUAAUAUUGACACUGAGAUUCGAAAGCGUGGGUAGCAAACAGGAUUAGAUACCCUGGUAGUCCACGCCGUAAACGAUGUCUACUAGCCGUUGGGGUCCUUGAGACUUUAGUGGCGCAGUUAACGCGAUAAGUAGACCGCCUGGGGAGUACGGCCGCAAGGUUAAAACUCAAAUGAAUUGACGGGGUCAUGCUGUUUCCU